UCGCGAACGUUCACGUUUCUUUAUGUUUAGCUGUGUUGUGCCUGUUAAUAAGAGACCUGAUUAAUAGCGUUUUUUUUUUACGUAUAUAAAAAAGAUGAGUGGUUGUGAUUAAUGAGGACUGAAAGAGCAAGCAUCUUCAAAUAAGGUGAUGCCUAUUGCUCGCACGAUGAUGAAAGUCACAAUUCAGAAGCAUGUCCAUCACUGUCAGGCCAGCAUGACAGUGGGUACAUACAGGCCGAUUACUUUUCUCCAAUAAAAAUUUCUAAGUGAAGAAUGUGUGGCCUAUUCUAAGGCGGGAAAGAUCUAACUGGAACUCAUUAAGUGUUACCAUAGAUGCUCUGAACUGGGGAUGUCCUAAAUGCACCGGAACAG